rnacentral:ncRNA from 1 species
AUGUCUUAUGAAAGGAGGGGGUUAAACCUCCCUUGACAAGGAUGGGAGGGGCCCCAUACAAGUGCAUGGUUAAGGCCUUACCACUUAUUCUGUGAUCUAACCACGGAUUUUC